GUGCUGAGCAGGAGUGAAGACAGGCCAGCCUCCAGCCGGCUUUCUGUAUUUGGGGAGUCUUCAGGAAAACAGGCCAAACUGUGCGGUCUGCUUUCGCCUGCCUUAUUUAGUUAUAUUAGUUUAAAUGAAAUACAAAAACAAAAAAAAACAAAUCCUCAGGAACAUUUAAAGAGGUUUUCUGCUCACCAUGAGGUCAGCCUGAGCUUUGGAAUCAGACCAGGGUUCCGGUCUUGACUCGCUCCACAUGAUGCCAAGGAGUGCCCAAGGGUGGGACGUGGGGGCUCUGUUCUCAUUUCCACCUGCCCCCCACAAGCCACCCCAGAGACAAAAUGAAAAUAGUGACGCACGUAUCCACCCUGCAAAAGGUGACUAAAUGCAUCAUUAGAAAAUGCCAAAGAGGCAAAUGCAGCUUUAGGGUCAAUCUCCACGUGUUCAUUCAACAUGGUUGUUACCCCUGAGCCCCUCUUAUGUCAAAACUCUGAGGCCUCCAUUGACUCCAUGAAUGAAUGUCUUCUUGUUCUUGAAGCUUGGUCCCAGGCUGCUUUCUAAAGUAGCCUCUGCUACUGUGUGUGCUGGGAGCUGCAGAGCACAGGAGAAAGCGGACCUUGCCUCUCCUGGGUGCUUGACUUGCCUGGAUGGAGACCAAUAUUUGGAGCAGCUGAGUUCUCACAGUUCAACGUUUUCCUUGUGGGAGAAGCACAGUCACUCAACCAACCAAAAAACCAGAAACCUCAAGGGCAAAACUCCAAAACCAAGAUCAUUAAAAUAUGGAUCACCGGUUUACCCAACUACCCAAUAUCCCACCCGAUAUCAGAGUUUCUCCCACAGCCUCCUCUACUGGGUGAUCAGCCAGGAUCUUGGCUGUGAAAUCAGCUGUGAAGCCGCCAGGUGUCUCACGGCUUAACUUAGGCGGUGUCCACUUCACUGCCAAUCAACCUUAUGCUGAGCCAAAUCCACUGUUUUGUAGCUUCUUCCAGCUGACCCUUGUUCUGCAUUUUUGGAGCAAACCACAAUAAAUAUAAUCCCUUGUCCACAUUACCACUGUUGAAAUAUCUUAUUGCAGUUAUCAGGUCUUCGCCAUUCCCCAUCCAUAUCACCUCUUUUUCAAAGUCAACUGAGUGACUAAGCACAGACACUCCCUCAACAUGAUACAUAGACUUUUAGCAUCCUAUUCAUUUACUUUUGAACUUGCUCUUAUUC
ensembl:lncRNA